AUAGCGUAUAUUAAAGUUGUUGCAGUUAAAAAGCUCGUAGUUGAACUUCAGGCCUUGGCUGGGGGUCCGCCUCACGGCGUGUACUGUCGGCUGGGGCCUUCCCUCUUGGGGAACCCUCAUGCCCUUUAUUGGGUGUGGGGGGGAACCAGGACUUUUACUUUGAAAAAAUUAGAGUGUUCAAAGCAGGCCUAUGCCCGAAUACAUUAGCAUGGAAUAAUAAAAUAGGACGUGCGGUUCUAUUUUGUUGGUUUCUAGGAUCGCCGUAAUGAUUAAUAGGGAUAGUUGGGGGCAUUAGUAUUCAGUUGCUAGAGGUGAAAUUCUUGGAUUUACUGAAGACUAACUACUG
rnacentral:rRNA from 1 species